AACCUGCGCGGAAAAGAAAACAUAAAAAUGUUAGCAUUGUCGUUGUAUCUUAUUGUGUAUGUGUAUUUCAGCUUCUAAAGUGGUUUUAUCCAUUAAAUUAUCCUUAUAUUAAUAACAAUUAAGUUUAAAUAAAUAAAAGCAAAAGCUGUGCCAUCUCAAGGUCAUGAAUGCAUUAAAAGAAAAAGUACAAAACAAAUAAUUGAAACUAAUUUGGAAAACUCUUUGAACAAGACAGAUAUUUUGGUUCAGUCACUGAACAAAUCUGUUUACUGUCUAAAAUCUGAAAACCAUUUUUCCGACAGCUGACAGCUUCGCACUGAAUAUAAUACACAAUUUGCAAUCCGAAAAUGAGUACAAUAAAAAUAAAACAAAAAACGUGACGUUCGACUGGCCAUCUCAUAGUAUUGAGAUAUAUACAUAUAUGUACAUAUAUAAUAUUUUUAAAAUAAAGCAGUUUUUGUCUAUUAAAAUAAACUGGCCAGCUUAAUUGGAAGGUUUGUAAAAAGUUAAAUUUGAAUGUAAAAAGUGUUUCAGUUAGCCCAGGUGGAUUAUACAGAAAAAAGAAAUGCGAUGCAAUUAAGCAUUACAUGUAUCGAUGAGUCCAUCAAUCAUUUCAUUUAGUUCAAUUCGCGCCACUGAGUUCAAAUUAUAAUGAUACAACAAAAAAUUGAUGAUAAAGAGGGACUAAUGCAAUCAGCGUCGAGAGCAAUUGAAUCAACACAAGAAAAAUCCAAUAUGGUCGUGCAAAUUGAAUCACUCCAAUUUGCCAUCCAUUUUUUCCGGACAUUGCAAGCCUAAUGAAUAAAAUGAUAAUACCCAGCGUCAGUGAGUCUAUAAAUGCGCAGAUUGCAUAAUAUUCGCACCCAUUGGUUUACAUUGCGCCUCCCCAAACGGCUGUGAAAAGUCACAUGGCGUUGCGAUUUGAAACAAUGGCUGACCGCAGUACUGCGGAGCAGCAGUGGGUGGAUGGUGGUGCAGGUGGUAUCGGUGGUGCUGGUGGUACUGGUGGUACUGUUGGUGUCGGUGGUGAGCCACCGAAGAAGUCACCGCUGCCUGACAGACUGGGCCAAAAACCACUGGCACUGGAACCCCGAAUAGAGCUCAUUGCAUAACGCCUGAUGAGCAAUAGUUGCGAUUACUUUCCAUUGUUGAACUGUGACUGUGUCACGCAAAAAACAUCAAAGUACGGCAAACAUAUAUAUGUACAUAUAUGUAUGUACGAGUAUAUGGAUUGUGUACUUAGUAACCUAGCACUGGGAGAUCAGAGUUCGCUUGGCUGACUCACUUAGCGAGUUGGUUACGACUGGACCGUGUAAUCAGGUACAACUACUGCUAAUCGGCGCAUCAAUCGGUGGGUCAUUGAAGUUAAUUUACUGUGAGCGAUAAAUUAACUUCCCUCAAUGGAAUGACAACUUGUUUGAAGCCGCCCUCGCCCGAGCCAACUUGUAAUUACAAUUAGCCGCAGCAGUAAGGUUCUAGUUGUUCUGUGAAAAAGGUAUCUCUAGCUUUUGCAAUUGUAUUAAUAAUCUCAAUAAAUAGCAGGUAAUUAAACCGCAACCCUACUAUAAACCUGAGAUACAUGUAAUAAUCGAACUAUUUAACUCUUGUUACAACCAAUUUUCAAAAUUCAUACUCAAUGUGUUUGCUAAUUGAUGUGAGUUUAUUACGAAUGUGAAGGUAACCCAAAUGGCAAACUCGAAAUUACUCUUAUACUUGUUAAAGAACAACUACCAGAAAUCGAUAAAUUAACCACUUGUGAAACUCACCCGGAAACUCCUGUGGAAUGAGCAGGGUCUUCUUGCGCUGCGAUGCCUGAGUCUUGGCGUUGUGUCCAUGGUAGAUGUUGCGCUGUCGCACCAGCCUGUAGAGCAGAAAAAGCUCAUCGUGGCCGGGUGGGGUGCCACCGUUGCUGCUGUGGCGACCGUUGUUGUUUUGGUGACCAGAACCAGAACCAGAACCCGAGCCCGAGCCCGAACUAAGACCAGGACCAGAGCCAGUUCCGUUUCCGGUGGCGCUGCCUCCGCUGGACGAUGAAUGGGUGCCGGUGCCGGUGUCAAUGUUGCCACUGGAAAUGUUUCCACCACCACCACCACCACUACCACCAGAUCCAAACGGAUUCGCUCCCGUCGAGGAGCUGCUCGAUGCCGCCGUGGAGGAGCCAUGCGAUGAGCUGGACUGCAGAGUUUCGUUGGAGCUCUUGCUCGCAUGCAGGAUGCGAACAACUCGGGGCAGGGAAUUUCGCUCAAGGAACUCAAUGGCGGUCAGCGCUCCCUGGAAGAUCCAAUUUUUAUUAGUAUAAUUCAAUAAUAUAACAAUAUAAUUCAAUAAUUCAUUAUUAA